GAUGAACGUUGGCGGUGCGCUUUAUGCAUGCAAGUCGUACGGGACUGUAGUUUUCGGAUUACGGUUCAGUGGCGAACGGCUGAGUAACACGUAGGUAACUUACCCGCGAGCGGGGGAUAACUUACCGAAAGGUAGGCUAAUACCGCAUGGUAUGGAUCUGUCAAAGCAGGUUCAUUAAAGCCGUAAGGCACUCGCGGAUAGGCCUGCGGCCGAUUAGCUAGUUGGUGAGGUAACGGCUCACCAAGGCGACGAUCAGUAGCCGGACUGAGAGGUUGAACGGCCACAUUGGGACUGAGACACGGUCCAGACUCCUACGGGAGGCAGCAGUGGGGAAUUUUGGACAAUGGGGCAACCCUGAUCCAGCCAUGCCGCGUGAGUGAAGAAGGCCUUCGGGUUGUAAAGCUCUUUCAGGUGGAAAGAAACGCAUGGGUCAAUACCCUGUGUGGAUGACGGUACCAUCAGAAGAAGCACCGGCUAACUACGUGCCAGCAGCCGACGGUAACUGUAGUCGUC
rnacentral:rRNA from 1 species